rnacentral:rRNA from 1 species
GACGAACGCUGGCGGCGUGCUUAACACAUGCAAGUCGAACGGAAAGGCCCUGCUUGUGUGGGGUGCUCGAGUGGCGAACGGGUGAGUAACACGUGAGUAACCUGCCCUUGACUUUGGGAUAACUUCAGGAAACUGGGGCUAAUACCGGAUAGGAGCUCCUGCUGCAUGGUGGGGGUUGGAAAGUUUCGGCGGUUGGGGAUGGACUCGCGGCUUAUCAGCUUGUUGGUGGGGUAGGGGCUUACCAAGGCUUUGACGGGUAGCCGGCCUGAGAGGGUGACCGGCGACAUUGGGACUGCGAUACGGCCCAGACUCCUACGGGGGGCAGCAGUGGGGAAUAUUGCACAAUGGGCGGACGCCUGAUGCAGCGACGCCGCGUUCGGGAUGACGGCCUUCGGGUUGUAAACCGCUUUCGCCUGUGACGAAGCGUGAGUGACGGUAAUGGGUAAAGAAGCACCGGCUAACUACGUG